CCUACCACUACAAGUCACCACCACCUCCUUCUCCUUCUCCUCCAGUGUACUCACCACCUAAGCAUCCCUACCACCCCAAGUCACCACCACCAUCACCAAAGCCUUACCACUACAAGUCCCCACCACCACCUCCUCCUCCAGUGCACUCACCACCCCCACCAAAGGAGCCUUACCACUACAAGUCUCCACCACCACCACCCAAGAAACCUCACCAUCACAAGUCUCCUCCACCACCACCCAGGAAGCCCUACCACCCGGUGCACUCACCCCCACCACCAAAGAAGCCUUACCAUUACAAGUCUCCUCCACCACCACCCAAGAAGCCCUACCACCCGGUGCACUCACCCCCACCACCAAAGAAGCCUUACCAUUACAAGUCUCCUCCACCACCACCCAAGAAGCCCUACCACCCGGUGCACUCCCCACCACCACCAAAGAAGCCUUACCAUUACAAGUCUC
rnacentral:lncRNA from 1 species